rnacentral:rRNA from 1 species
UACGUAGGGGGCAAGCGUUGUCCGGAAUUAUUGGGCGUAAAGAGCUCGUAGGCGGCUUGUCACGUCGAUUGUGAAAGCCCGAGGCUUAACCUCGGGUCUGCAGUCGAUACGGGCUAGCUUGAGUGUGGUAGGGGAGAUCGGAAUUCCUGGUGUAGCGGUGAAAUGCGCAGAUAUCAGGAGGAACACCGGUGGCGAAGGCGGAUCUCUGGGCCAUUACUGACGCUGAGGAGCGAAAGCGUGGGGAGCGAACAGG